CAUUUCAAUAGAUUUCUCUUCAGUUUAUUCUCGUCAUUUCAAUUCCAAUUUUAGGAUAAUCUAAGUCACUUUCACCACAAAUCCAACCACCCUGAUACAAAAUUAAUUCUACAUAUAAUUAAAAUCCACCUCCUCGUGGGAUCGACACUCGUCACCAUUAAUAUAUUCUACAAUAGAUUCGUGCACUUGCGAGUUCAAUAAAAUUUGUACAACAA
rnacentral:lncRNA from 1 species